UCUAAGAACCAGUCAUGUUUGAUUCAGAUUAGGGCUCGGCGAUAUAUGAAAAAAUCUUGAUAUUGGCAAUUUUUUUAUGAUAUUCAAUAUAUAUCUUUAUAUAUAUAUAUAUAUAUAUAUAUAUAUAUAUAUAUAUAUAUAAUAUAAAUUUAAUUCCUAUAAGUAAUUCCACAUUGCCAUGUUUUUACACAUUAUAAAAAUAAGCUGUCCAUAAAUGUUACUUAAUUGUGAGUUAAAUUUCUCUAAUUUUGUGUUUUGUCUUCAGGAACAUUAUCAGUCAUUCAAGCUAUGAUAUCCUGGCAGAUCUACUUCCUGAAAAGAAGACUCAGCAGAUCUUUUCAAGACACACUAGAUGGAGCGCGAAGAGACCGGACAGUUCCCACAGUGCUAGUUUUUCAGCACCCACAACCCACACACAAAUUCAUAUAGAAGUUUUCAAUAAUAAAAAGUUCAUAUGAUAGUUUACAUUUAGCUAUGAAGCUAUAGUUUAUUGUCAUAAAUAUUAAACAAAAUAUUAAAGUCCUUUUAUAGUGAAAAUCAAGUUUUUAUGCUGUUUUUUUUGUCUUUGUGGCAUUAAAUAUUGCUACAUCACAAUCCAAUAACCAAUCACAUCUAAGAAUAAUUUCCUAUAGCAUGCCAAUACCAGCGCACAAGCACAAAGCUAAAGACAAAUUAUAGCAAAAAAAUUUGAUUAAAUAUUUGACUACAGGGGACUUACAUUUUUUUUUACAUGAUAUGAAAUUUCCAUUAGUCUGUUCAAUGUGUAAAUGAGAUUUUUGAAAGUGAUUAUCUUUAAUAAUUCAGAUACCUGUUGAAAUGCACAUGUAAUUAAAUGCUUGCUCGGAUCUGGAAUGUUGUGUUAAUAAGCAUUAUGUUAAAGGAGAAUGUUGCAACAGUGCUAACCUGAAAUUAAAAUUUUAUUAAGCUACACUUUGUAAUGUUCAAAUUAAAGUUUAUACAAUGUUUUAUUCUUAAUAAAAUUUAAGUGGAAGAACAUUGUAGGCACAUUAUACUGACCAUAAAAUAAAGUUCCAACAUUUUAACUUU